rnacentral:rRNA from 1 species
UGGGGAAUUUUGCACAAUGGGGGAAACCCUGAUGCAGCGACGCCGCGUGACUUAGAAGGCCUUCGGGUUGUAAAAAUCUUUUCUAUGGGAAGAAAAUGACAGUACCAUAGGAAUAAGGACCGGCUAAUUACGUGCCAGCAGCCGCGGUAAUACGUAAGGUCCGAGCGUUGUCCGGAAUCAUUGGGCGUAAAGGGUACGUAGGCGGGUAAGCAAGUUAGAAGUGAAAUCCUAUAGCUCAACUAUAGUAAGCUUUUAAAACUGCUCAUCUUGAGGUAUGGAAGGGAAAGUGGAAUUCCUAGUGUAGCGGUGAAAUGCGCAGAUAUUAGGAGGAAUACCGGUGGCGAAGGCGACUUUCUGGCCAUAACCUGACGCUGAGGUACGAAAGCGUGGGUAGCAAACAGG